rnacentral:lncRNA from 1 species
CACCACAACAGCCCACACAACCACAAACACCACAACAGCCCACACAACCACAAACACCACAACAGCCUCACACGGCCACAAACACCACCAACAACCCACACGGCCACAAACACCACAACAGCCCACACGGCCACAAACACCACAACAGCCCACACGGCCACUAACACCACAACAACCCACACGGCCACAAACACCAAUAACAGCCCCACACGGCUACUAACACCACAACAACCCGCCGUGCCACAACCCCCGUCCCCCUGGCGUCACGCCAUCCCCUCGGGGUGGGCCGCGGCCUCUCCCGGUGACCGAUGCUCGCUCCGCCCCGCGCCGUCCUCCCUCCUGCAUCCAAUAGGACACGAGUCAUUCCGCGUCCCGGACCCUGGGCGCGGGGCUCGUUCCGUAUCCUCGCUCCUUCACAGCCGCGCUUGGGCUCCGCGCGCUCCCGCCGAGCUCCUCCCCUCGGGGCGGGGCGCAGCGUGGCCCGUCCCGGCCCAGCGGCGGCGGCGGCGAUGUGGAGUCGGGGCGCGCGGCUUCGCUGCUAGAGGGAGGUUGGGGGGCGCCCGCCGGCACCCGGGAGACCCGGCCGGAGGUUCCGUACAUUCUUGGCUUCCUGAUUUGGAAAAUGUGUACCUGGCAUCCUUGUUAAGUCAAGACAGUCAUACAGGUUUGCUGUCAUUGCAGUGGCACAGCAGAAUUAUACAGGCUGCUGAAGUCUGGCUGGGGGUCAGUAUAGGACACUAGCAGGCAUUUCUGAUGGCACAUUCUGAGAGUUGACCAUGGGUGAAGCCUGGAGGAAGCAGAAGAGGCUUGUUAGUGGUCUAUGAUAGGUGCAGUUCUUACUACUUGAAUGUUUCUGACUGCUGUUUUUAUAGACAACUUUUUAUUUGCUUUAAAAUGUUUACAGUGUUUCUAUUCUUAAUAGUUAUCUUGGAGUAAAGACCUUUUGUGUUACAAAACAUUCUUUCUAACUCUUUUUCAGUUUGACUUAAGUUUGUGCAAGGAUGAGCUGUGUUUCAGUCAGUUUGUGUGCUUGCAGUUUUGCAAUACUCAGAAGAAUGAAAACUGGCUCGAGUAGAUUUUAUCCUACAUUUUAGGCCAGACUUCUUGGUCAGACUGAAUGUCAAGUUUUAAAUGCCAGAAUAUAGAACUACAAAAGUACCGUAUAUAUGGAAUUUAUUACCUAAUCCUUCAGCAAAAUAAUCAAAGCAAUCUCUGAAGUUAGUUAUGAAAUUUAUCUUAAUAUCCCAGUGUCUGCCUUUCUGUGUGUGAUAGGAAGCAAUGCAGCUGAAGUCAUAGCCAGGAAUCCCACUUGCUGGUACUAGAAAGAUCAGCUCCUGGAUUAAGGAGAGGCUGUUACGUAGGCCAAGAAGCACAGGUCUGUGUGUUACUUUCUAAAGAAAAAUGAGCAGAGGCUGAGGGUGGAGCUGCAUUAAGGAUUUGAAAGUGGUCAUUUGAGCUUUGCAUCUGUUGCUAAGGUCCAGUUUACUGAGAUUAGUACUGUAGGUCAAGUAAAAAUAUGUCCUCUUAUGCUGAGUAGAGCCAAUGGGAAGUCCUUGCAAGUAUCUCCUUUCAGAAUACUUUUUUUAAGCUUGUCUGAAUUAUACAGUCAUACGUCUGGAAUAUACUAUAAAUCAGAUCUGCAGGCGCUUACAGUGAAUGUAGGUGUGUGCUAUUCUGAUGACUAGCCUAAAAAGCGUUGGUAUCCUGGUAUAAGCAGAUGUACUAAAAUGGUAGAGGAAAAUGUAGUGAUGUGAUAUAAACCAACUGAGAAUGGACUGAAAUGCUCCCUUGCAGCCACCUUGCUCUGUGCUUCACCAAGAGAAUAAAGCCCAGAAGAGACAACUUAUGGAAACUUCU